UCUCGUUUCUUUUUGCUGAUU
rnacentral:piRNA from 1 species